rnacentral:rRNA from 1 species
AUGAACGCUGUCGGCGUGCCUAAUACAUGCAAGUCGAGCGAACAGACGAGGAGCUUGCUCCUCUGACGUUAGCGGCGGACGGGUGAGUAACACGUGGAUAACCUACCUAUAAGACUGGGAUAACUUCGGGAAACCGGAGCUAAUACCGGAUAAUAUAUUUAACCGCAUGGUUCAAUAGUGAAAGACGGUUUUGCUGUCACUUAUAGAUGGAUCCGCGCCGCAUUAGCUAGUUGGUAAGGUAACGGCUUACCAAGGCAACGAUGCGUAGCCGACCUGAGAGGGUGAUCGGCCACACUGGAACUGAGACACGGUCCAGACUCCUACGGGAGGCAGCAGUAGGGAAUCUUCCGCAAUGGGCGAAAGCCUGACGGAGCAACGCCGCGUGAGUGAUGAAGGUCUUCGGAUCGUAAAACUCUGUUAUUAGGGAAGAACAAAUGUGUAAGUAACUAUGCACGUCUUGACGGUACCUAAUCAGAAAGCCACGGCUAACUACGUG